rnacentral:misc_RNA from 1 species
GAAAUGCGAUAAGUAAUGUGAAUUGCAGAAUUCAGUGAAUCAUCGAAUCUUUGAACGCACAUUGCGCCCGCCAGCACUCUGGCGGGCAUGCCUGUUCGAGCGUCAUUUCAACCCUCAGAACCCCUUGCGGGAUCUGGCGUUGGGGAUUGGCAUCCAGCCAGCCCCGAAAUCUAGUGGCGGUCCCUCCGCGACCUCCCCUGUGCAGUAGCGAUACCUCGCAGCGGGACAGCGGUCUGACCACGCCGUAAAACCCCCAACCUCUCAAGGUUGACCUCGAAUCAGGUAGGAAUACCCGCUGAACUUAAGC